rnacentral:lncRNA from 1 species
AAAUGAGACCGUAGUAACAUUUUUACCCACUAGAUUGACAAAAUUAAGAAAUUGGGAAAUAUCAAGUGCUGAGGAGGAUGUUCAUCAGCAGGAACUCUCAGGCACUGCUAACAGAAGUGGAAAUUGGAUUCUUCUGAGUGCAGUGUUGAAGAUGGACUGGGAAGAGGGGCAAGGAUGGAAGCUGGCAGAUGGAAUGGCGCUAUUGCAAUAAUUCAGGCAACAGACGAUAGUGUCUUGGACCAAGAUGGUGCUAAUGGGAAUGAUGAGAACUGUUUGCUGGAAGUCCUAGAUUGUUCUGGCUGCUCUGGAAGGAAUGGCUGGCUCUAAUGUGUAAAAGGACACCUGAUCCUGACGAGUAAAGAAAGCUCCCACUUGUUCAGUGUCUACUAUGAGCAAGGCUUUGUAUUAAACUUUGUGUCCAUUAACUCAUAUCAUAUUUAAUACACACAAUCCUCAUGUGUAGACAUUAUAAAAUCUUUCUUUAUAGAUAAGAAAAAUGUGGCUUCAAAC